rnacentral:antisense_RNA from 3 species
CGCUAUGGCGGCUGUAUGCGGGAGACCUUCGGGUCUACCGGGUUGCCUUUUUACCGGUUCGCUAACCUGCAUACGGUCGCCACCUCG